rnacentral:lncRNA from 1 species
UUAGACUGAUAAAUAAAUAAUUACAUUUAAUAUUUAAACACACAAAUAGUUACACAUGUACAAAAUACAAAACUAAAUAAAAUACAAUAUAAAAAAGGUUCAAUAUUAUUUUACAAAUAAUACUUGAAACAAAGUAAAACAAAUAAAAAUAACAAAAACACGAGCUAAAUAAAGGGGGGUUUGAAAGGCAAAUACAUGGAUGCAAGGGUCCAGAUGAUCCAAAAGCCCUAAGGAGAUGAGCCUGAUCAGAGUCAAAGUCUUGACUCAAACAAUGACCAUCUGAUCAAAUGGUUCAAUCAGAGUCGUUGGAUGCGCAUACUGAUAGAGUCAACAGAUGAUCCAAAGGUCAUGAUUGAGGCAUACGCUGGAAGAGCCACACAUGAUCAAUAAGUUGACUGACUGAGUCAACUGAUCAGAUGACCAGGACUCAGCCACGUGGCAAACAAAUGGAAAGGUGGAUGAGACCACUUAAAACACGUGGCUGAGAGGUAUGGAUUCAUUUUCUUGUUUUCUUUCUUUCUCCUCACUCUUCUAUCUCCCCGCCUCAUUAACACCAACAAACCCAAACCAUUCCACCGGAAAAGGAUUAAACCCAGCGGUGAUGAUGAACAUGCACGACGGCGCUGAAGAACACAUUAAAUGUUCUUCAACGAAUUUCCAGAUCCCAGAAAAAUAAAUCAAACCAAAAAUUUCCGAACACUAACCCACCCUAAUUCAUGCUUCUGAACCUAAAAACAACCAAAACAUGCAGAUCGAACUUGCAGAAAUAAAACCCUAAUUUUCACGAUCCACAAAUUCAAGCAUAAACCAAGAAGAAAAUCAUAGGAAAUGUUUAGGUGCAUUGGUGAACAUUUGAAUUGUUUUUGUCCUUGCUUGUACUGCAAAUUUUUGUAUUGUCUUGUUUUGGGUUGCAUACAUUUAUUUUGACAUGGCCUUGGUUGUGGUUUCAACAUCUUGUGUAGUGUGUGUAUAUGACAUGGUUUGUUCAUAUUUGUGGGAUGAUAUUGGCUAUUGUUUAGAUUAAAUUUCCUUUUGGUUUAAUAAGUUCUUGUAGAUGGGAGACAUGGCUUGAUGAUGAGUCCAUGAAGUAACUAUAACCAAGUGAAGGCUUGAAAAUGUAUUAGCAUUAGGUCUUAGUUGUGUAGGCUUGGUUUAUUUUCAAUGUAGCAAAAACAUAGCAAAACUUCAAAUGUACCAAAAUAUCAUGUAACUUGGAAUGCAAUCACUGUAAUUUGUACAUUUUAUUGUGAUGCGAAAAAUGCGGUUAUUUGUAAAAACUUGAAAAUAUUUGAAAUGAAAUGCAAUGCUUCACCAUUCAAUCUUUAAACUUUUAAAUCUUAACACGAUGCCUUGGAUGAGUGAAAGACAUUGAUAAUAAAACCUAAAAUGAAAUGAAUGUAUGCAUUGCUUGUUGUAAAAUAAGUUUGGUGGAUGAAAAAUGACAUAUUAAAUCAUUAAAGCCAAGGGAAUGGAGUUAUGCCUAAAAUGAAGAAAAUUCAAACAAUGACUUAUGUAUGUAUGUAUCUAUGAAUUAUGGAUGAGUGAUACUCAAGUAUGGAAACCAAGUUCAUGAUUUCAAACUAAAACCCUACAUGGAAUCAAUGUGAAAAACAUGAAGGUGUGCAUCAUGUAAUGAAAUGAAAUGGAAAAGAAUAAAUGAGGCCACUCAUGUUUAGAGAUUGGAUGCAUGAUUUGAAAUGUCAAGUGAUUAAUUGAUCAAAGAUGACUUUGAUCAAUCAAUCAGAGAUAAACAUCUAUUAAUUUCUAAAAUUUGAACUAUCCAAUAAAAUGCUAAUCAAAAGUCUAAGUGAACAUGUAUAUUAAUUUGUAAAAUCCUAAAAAUAAAUUCUAAAACUAAUAUAUUUAAUUUCUAAUAUGAAUCUAAAUGUAUUAUUUUUAUUUAUUUUCAAAGUAUUUUCCCUUUAUUAGCAAAAUUGAAAUGUGUUCAAAAAUAUUUAAAAUGGAAUGUUGAUUAAAAUGAGAAAACUAAUGUAAUAAAAGAAUUACUUUUUUUUAGAGAAAAAGUAAAAAAGUAAAACAAAAUAGAGGGGUGCAUGGGCCUGCAGGGUGUAUGGAAGCAUAAGUGUAUGAGCUUGAAUCAGAAAGGCCACGGUGCCUUAUUUUUGCUUCAGUGUGUGUGUGUGAAGCUACAUAGGGGUUCAAUCUGCAAAAUUAAUGGACCAAGUGACCUUGGACCUAAAACGUGAAGGCCAAGAGAGUUAGGAGACGUCAGAUGAAGUUCAUUCCAUUUUUUUUAUCUUAAUAUCACGCUCUCACAUUCUCUUUGAGAUUUUCUCGCCGAUGUCAGACUCCGCCGCGCCGGAGGCGAUAGAGGGGGCCAUAUCACACACCGUCACCACCAAAUUGAACCUCCCAUCGUCCUUUCUUCCAAUCUAUCCUCAAUUUGUCCAACGCCUCAUAAAACUCUCAAAAUCGAGCUAACAGUCGAAGAACCCUAGGGUGUAUAAUAUGAAACUAAACGCCGUCGGAGGGGAAUCCGAGCCAGCAAUCAGAGGGCUUCGAUUCUCGUCUCUCUAAUCUAUAUUGUGGUGGCUGUUUUAACACGUAUGGAAGAAGAAAUGAGAAUGAACUUACCUGUCGGAGCAAUUCCAGUAGUUCUUCAAGAUGUUGAUGUUGAUCAAAAGUAGGGUUUAAUAAAAUCACUUGGCGUCGAUUUUUUUUGUAAAUAUAUUUUAUUGGAAUUGUUGUAGUAUACUCUUAAAACAUAAACAAAAUGAACGAAAGAUGGAGAUACUAAGUCAAUAAAAGCUUCAUUCGACCUAAAUUCGGUUUACACGAGAUGUGUAAAUUGAAAAUAUUCAAUUGAAUAAGAAAUCUAUUAUUACUAGUUUCAGAUUUAAUAAAUGUAAGAAUGUUUAGAAUCUUAAUUUAACAAAUACCUAA